GGUUUCCCGGCCGCGGCAUCACGAUCGGUAACUUCUAUUUGAGGAGGGUUAUUUUUUCUUUGUGUGUGCGUGUGUGUGUGUGUUGUGUGUGUGUGUGUGUGUGUGUGUAUGUGUGUAUGUGUGUGUGUGUGUGUGUGUGUGUGUGUGAGAGAGAGAGAGAGAG